GCUGACUAAAUACUUUUUUGCCCCAAGGUAUAUUGCUUCUCCUUGCCCCAACCUGGGCUUGAACCAGGGACCAUCUGCAAACAGACAGCAUUCACCCACAAAGCAUCAUUACCCAUCGCUCCACAAAAGCCACGGGAAACAAUGUUAAGGUCUCAAAGUGAGUGAUCAACAAUUGAAAUGCCUCACAAAUUGCCUUGCCAGCAGUUCACACCAAGUAGUAGGCUACUGGAAGGCAGGCAGCACUUAAAGUAGAUGGCCCUAGCUAGCAAAAAGACAGUACUAGACUAGAAAUUAUACUUUUCACUCUAUAGCUAUAGAAAGAUUCACCAUUGUGCUAUGACACCAUCGUAAGUGAAUGAGUUUUGCAGCCUUGACCAUCUGUGAAUAUGUCUCUCCUGAUAAAUAUUCUGCUUAGAUUAUGUGAUGGUGUGUGAAGGCCUGUAUAUUCCUGCUUGUUGUCUACAUUUGUUGGCCAGGAAAGAGGAUGGAGAGCCUAAUUACACACACCUGAAUCUAAUUAUUGUGGGUGGUGGCUGUUUUAACCUGCCUUUGGCCAGAUUUUUUUUUGAUGGUCUAGAGCAGCAAGAGCUGACAUGCAUGGUCCUCCAAUCCUGGGAUGAACAUCGAACCCAACUGGACAGGAACCUACCGGACGUUACUUUUGUUGGAUAUGCAGGUGUCCAGGGCAGUCUCAGCUGAGCCCUCUGAGAAGGGACCACGGCGCUGCUGUCCACCUCGGGUUUCAGCCAAUGGCAGAAUCUGCUGCAUUCGUGGCACGGGGUCCAUCUUUGCAUUGAAGGCUGGGUUCAGGAUUCCAGCUAGACCAGGAAAGAGAUUUCAAUGAAUUGAAAGAUCUCUAAGAGGCUCUCAUGGGGAAUGAACCGUCAGCAGCCUCGCAACUAGAGGUACUGUCUCCCUCAGAAAACUCCAAAUCUGAAGGCAGAGAGAAACAGCCAACCAGAAAACACUUAAGUUAUGUUUAUUUAUGCAGAGGUAUCUAAACCUGAAUGGCAGAAAGCAAAUGUAAUCAGCCUCGUUUUUUCCCCCCUGGUAGGUCUUGGAUUGUGGUGGCAUUUGCGUCCCUCGCCCUUGCAACCAUAGAAGUUUAAAAUGAUGAAUAUAUAUAGUUACAUCAUACACUUGUUUAUAUUGAACUGUUCAUCAAUAAUAAAACACAAUAUUUUAUAUGUUAGAAGUACUUAGGGUAAGCAAAUUGGCUGGACCCAGUACAGUUGUAGUGACAUGUUUUGGGGAUUUAGAGAUCUAUCUUGAAUGCUAAGUAAACAAAAUUAUUGAAUACGUUGUAUAGGUCAAUAAAAACAAAGGCUAUUAAAAUAUAUAGAUUUUUUUUACAAAUAUGAUACUGUAUGUGUCAGUAAGUUGUCGGUGUUACCGCCUUGGAAAUGACUCCAAAGACAUAGAAGGACCAUGAGCAUUCCCUCCAGUUAAACUUAGGAGGGGUUUAUAUUGAAAAGAAAAGUACUAGCUAAUCAUACCCAUUUAGUAUGUUAGAAAAUUUAGAAUUGCAUUGAUAAUUUGGUGUCUAAAUUUAACCGGUGUAAAAUGGUUAGCUAGAUAACAGUGCACGCUAGAGGCAUUUCAAUUGUUGACCACUCGCUUUGAGACCUUCAAAUAGCUGUUUCCCUUUCUGCAAGGGCCGUGGCUUUUGUGGAGCGAUAGGUAACGAUGCUUUGUGGGGGACUGCUGUCUAUGUUUGCAGAUGAUCCCUGGUUCAAGCCCAGGUUGGUGCAAAUAAGAGGGACGGUAGCAAUACUAUUAUAUUGGUGCCGUGACCCGGGUGAGUUUAACUGGUGUGUGCUAGUAGCAUUUAAAUCUGUGACUGUUGUCGAUGUGUGCAAAGAGUCCCUGGUUCGAGGCAAGUAGAGGGAAGGAAGCAAUACUUCUACAUAAAUAUAAAGUGUCAUUGGUGUUACUCAAUUUAAAAUAAGGGAAAUUACAUUAUGAGCAAAAUUCAUUGCGCUUUAGUAAAUCAUGGCCUCCAUUAAAGAAAACCCUCAAUUAACAAAAAUGUGUCGUUGGUGUUACAACUCUGGUUAUCAUAAUGGUAGUAAAUAAAGUCAUUAAGCUGCCAUAUUACAGUGCCUUCAGAAAGUAUUCACACCCCUGGACUUUUUCC